UACGUAGGGUGCGAGCGUUGUCCGGAAUUAUUGGGCGUAAAGAGCUCGUAGGCGGCUUGUCGCGUCGGAUGUGAAAGCCCGGGGCUUAACCCCGGGUCUGCAUUCGAUACGGGCAGGCUAGAGUGUGGCAGGGGAGACUGGAAUUCCUGGUGUAGCGGUGAAAUGCGCAGAUAUCAGGAGGAACACCGGUGGCGAAGGCGGGUCUCUGGGCCGAUACUGACGCUGAGGAGCGAAAGCGUGGGGAGCGAACAGG
rnacentral:rRNA from 1 species